rnacentral:lncRNA from 1 species
AUGUUUUUUUUAUCUGUGGAAGUGAACUCCCUUGAAUUUUCAUAUUUAGUGGAUUAUCUGAUUGAAUUAGCUAUGCUGAUUUGUCUCAGGGGAAGCUUAUCAUGUUUUUUAAUGGUGAAGAGCUUUGCUUUUCUGUUUGUGGAAGUUUUCAACUUUGAACUGUAAACUAAAAUGAUGAAACAUUAACAACAUGCUUUACUGUCAUAAUAUUGUAUUGCUGACUAGUGAAUUGUCACUUAUAGAUUUAUGCUGAACUUAAAUAGUGUGCAUUUAUACAAUUAAGCCAAGUGAUAGACUGAGGUGUAAUAUUGUUUAGUCAUUAGGAAUGUGUAUUGUUUGCAUUUCUUAAUGUAAUUUAUUAACAAUCUCCAAUGCUGUUGGAAUAAGCACAAGUGCUAAAUUAUCCCUUUUAAGCGUCAUUUAAAAACUGGAGCAGGAUACUAUUAAAAUAAUCAUGUUUGUUACUUAUGUAAACUCAGUCAUUUUUAAAGAGAAUAUUUAAUACUCAGGAUGAUUUCGUAGUUUUACUUUCAACCCUCCAGUGGUUGCAUCCCAUAUUUAGGGACUUCUCUUAAAAUCCUGAUGAGAUGCUGUCAAGUGGGCUGUUAAAAUCUAAGACAAUGUUUUGCCACCAAACAUUUCAUUUUACCUCAUUCCAUAAACUAUAAACCUGUGUCUUCACUUAACUUCCUCAGUAGCUAAAGCUGGUAAACCAGUAUCUUAUAUUGAGGAUUUUGUCCCCUUUCCAUUUGAAAGGGAAUGUCCUGUUCAGACUGCCUGUGCCUCCAAUGUGAGAAUCAGACAUCAGUCACCUACUUUUUACUUUUUCCCUCUAGCCCUGAUGGUGAACUUUAAAAAGAGAAUCUGUGACUUACAAGUUAGAGCUCUACAGACAAAAGAUGAUCUUGCCUUCUACAAAAAUACCACUUGCUUCUAAAUCUCCUAUCUUCUGUACAUACUUCUGCCUCUGUUCUGUGGUUCUGUAGAUCAUUGCUUUAAAUGGCAUCAGAUACUUGUGACCUGCAGAAUCAUUUCACUGAAGCAGUGAGUGUUAAGUUCUUUAAAAAUUAGUCUAUAAGCAGAUCUUUAAUCAAUAUAAAAAGAGGGAGGGAACAAGGAGGAAAGGGCUCUAACUAAAAUAUUCCUUACUUGGGGGAGACGGCGA